GUAGUCGUGGCCAAGUGGUUAAGGCGAUGGACUUGUAAUCUGUUGGGGUUUCCCCGUGCAGGUUCAAAUGCUGCCAACUACG